rnacentral:rRNA from 1 species
UACGUAGGGGGCUAGCGUUGUCCGGAAUCAUUGGGCGUAAAGAGCGUGUAGGCGGCCCGGUAAGUCCGCUGUGAAAGUCGGGGGCUCAACCCUCGAAUGCCGGUGGAUACUGUCGGGCUAGAGUGCGGAAGAGGCGAGUGGAAUUCCCAGUGUAGCGGUGAAAUGCGUAGAUAUUGGGAGGAACACCAGUGGCGAAGGCGGCUCACUGGACCGGUACUGACGCUGAGGCGCGAAAGCCAGGGGAGCAAACAGG